CUAACCCCCACCUUCUCUUCUCUCUCUCCCAUUCCCUUCAUCCCUCCGGCCGCCACCUCUUUCCCCCCUCCCGAUCAAUCUCUCCACCUCGUCCCUCUCUCUGCUCUCCCAUUGUACCUCCACCUCGCACGCCCCUCUCUCUGCUCUCCCUCUCCUCUCCGCGAGCCCGCCGCCACCCUCACCAUGGCGUCGUCCCCCACCGCCAGCAGCCGGGAUCCGGCCUCCCUCGCACAGCAGUGGCGGGCCUCACAGUUGCAUCCCAGCGGGAUCCGGCCUCCCCUGCCCCUCGCCACCCGCCAGCCGCCGGAUAUCAAGUACGGCGCCGCCUACCCCGACCGGCCCGCGCGCCGCUUGACCUGACCCCGCGCACGCGCCGUCGGGUCCCGCGCCCCCGAUUCCUCUCCCGCUCGCGGGUAGAGAGGAGGAGCUUGCCGCUGCCGUCGUGGAGACGCUGGGCUGUCGCUGCUUGACGAGGAUUCCGUGUGGAGCUGACGCUGGACUGCCGUGCCGUGGGUUCGGUGCGUGGCCAUGGAGGGCGGCACGCCGGUUCUCGAUUUUGUGGUUUUAGGUUUCUGUUUAUGUGAUUCGUUUCUGUGGUGAGAUGUGUAAUCCUGUGAGUUUCCGUUUUGUGAUUUGUGAAUUGUUGAAUGGACGACCAAAAUUUGCAGGCCCGUGGCCUGUUUUAACGAAAAUGUUAUCAGUGGCGGGCGCAAAAUGUAACCGACAGCGAUAGGUGCAUCAUUACUAAGGGGCGUAGCACCCACCAGUGAUGUACCACGUCACUGGCAACAAGUUUGUAACUGACGGCCC